rnacentral:rRNA from 1 species
CUUAAAUUGAAGAGUUUGAUCAUGGCUCAGAUUGAACGCUGGCGGCAGGCCUAACACAUGCAAGUCGAGCGGAAACGAGUUAUCAGAACCUUCGGGGGACGAUAACGGCGUCGAGCGG